UACGUAGGGUGCAGGCGUUAAUCGGAAUUACUGGGCGUAAAGCGUGCGCAGGCGGCUCCUUAAGUCAGAUGUGAAAGCCCCGGGCUUAACCUGGGAACUGCGUUUGAAACUGGGGAGCUAGAGUGUAGAAGAGGGGGGUGGAAUUCCAGGUGUAGCAGUGAAAUGCGUAGAGAUCUGGAGGAACACCGAUGGCGCAGGCAGCCCCCUGGGCUAACACUGACGCUCAUGCACGAAAGCGUGGGGAGCAAACAGG
rnacentral:rRNA from 1 species